rnacentral:rRNA from 1 species
GACGAACGCUGGCGGCGUGCUUAACACAUGCAAGUCGAACGGUAAGGCCCCUUCGGGGGUACACGAGUGGCGAACGGGUGAGUAACACGUGAGCAACCUGCCCUUGACUCUGGAAUAACAGUUGGAAACAGCUGCUAAUACUGGAUAUUCAUCGUCUCCUUCCUGGGGGGUGGUGGAAAGCUCCGGCGGUCAGGGAUGGGCUCGCGGCCUAUCAGCUUGUUGGUGAGGUAAUGGCUCACCAAGGCUUCGACGGGUAGCCGGCCUGAGAGGGCGACCGGCCACACUGGGACUGAGAUACGGCCCAGACUCCUACGGGAGGCAGCAGUGGGGAAUAUUGCACAAUGGGCGCAAGCCUGAUGCAGCAACGCCGCGUGCGGGAUGACGGCCUUCGGGUUGUAAACCGCUUUCAGUAGGGACGAAGGGUGACUGACGGUACCUACAGAAGAAGAACCGGCUAACUACGUG